AUUGAACGCUGGCGGCAGGCCUAACCCAUGCACGUCGAACGAGUGGCGGACGGGUGAGUAAUGUCUGGGAAACUGCCUGUUGGCGGGGGAUAACUACUGGAACCGGUAGCUAAUACCGCAUACCAUCGGAUGUGCCCAGAUGGGCUUAGCUAGUAGGUGGGGAAAAGGCUCACCUAGGCGCAUAUCCCUAGCUGGUCUGAGAGGAUGACCAGCCAAACUGGAACUUAGACACGGUCCCGACUCCUACGGGAGGCAGCAGUGGGGAAUAUUGCACAAUGGGCGCAAGACUGAUGCAGCCAUGCCGCGUGUAUGAAGAAGGCCUUCGGGUUGUAAAGUACUUUCAGCGGGGAGGCGUUACCCGCAGAAGAAGCACCGGCUAACUCCGUGCCAGCAGCCGCGGUAAUUC
rnacentral:rRNA from 1 species